AGAAAGAGAAAUGAAUAGAAAUGAAACACAAUGACCACGCUCUUUGUCUCCCGCUUCAUUUUUCACUCCUCUUUUCCUUUUUUUCCUCCUCCUUUCUUCUUUCUUCUUUCUC
rnacentral:ribozyme from 13 species